rnacentral:rRNA from 1 species
AUGGCAUUGGCGACGCCGCUCCGCCACCUCCUCGCCGCGCAGCCCGAGCCCGCCGCCGGAGCGGCGCCGUCCUUGGCCCUGACGCAGCCAGGACGCGCCUUCCCACCCCACCGUGGCGUCCGCUUCCGCGCCAGGCACGCGGCGGCGCCCUUAUCGUCGCCACCUGCCAGGGCCGCCGGGGUCGCGGCGAGGGCGGCGGGCGGGGGGCGGCCGACGGUGCUGGUCACGGAGAAGCUGGGGGCGGCGGGGCUGGAGCUGCUGCGGGCGUUCGCCAACGUGGACUGCGCGUACGAGCUGACGGCGGAGGAGCUGCGCGCCAAGGUGUCGCUGGUGGACGCGCUGGUGGUGCGCAGCGCCACGCGGGUGACCCGGGAGGUCUUCGAGGCGGCGCGCGGGCGGCUGCGCGUCGUGGGCCGCGCCGGCGUCGGCAUCGACAACGUCGACCUCCAGGCCGCCACGGAGGCCGGCUGCCUCGUCGUCAACGCGCCCACCGCCAACACCGUCGCCGCCGCCGAGCACGCCGUCGCGCUGCUCGCCGCCAUGGCCCGCAAUGUCGCCCAGGCCGACGCCUCCCUCAAGACCGGCAAAUGGCAGCGUAGCAAAUAUGUCGGCGUUUCCUUGGUUGGAAAGACAAUAGCUAUUAUGGGCUUCGGGAAGGUUGGUUCAGAGGUUGCUCGACGCGCGAAAGGACUUGGAAUGGAUGUCAUUGCUCAUGACCCAUAUGCCCCCGUCGAUAGAGCCCGAGCUAUCGGUGUAGAUCUCGUAUCAUUCGAUGACGCCAUCUCCACUGCAGACUUCAUAUCACUGCAUAUGCCUCUAACACCAUCAACAACAAAAAUUUUCAACGACGAGACUUUUGCAAAAAUGACGAAAGGAGUAAGGCUUAUCAAUGUUGCGAGGGGUGGAGUGGUUGAUGAAGAAGCAUUGCUGAGAGCACUUGAUAAUGGGACUGUUGCACAGGCAGCACUCGACGUGUUCUUUGAAGAGCCACCGCCGAAAGACAGCAAGUUAGUACACCAUGAAAAUGUCACAGUGACACCGCACCUUGGAGCUAGCACAACAGAAGCACAGGAAGGCGUUGCCCUUGAAAUCGCAGAGGCUGUUAUCGGUGCACUGAAAGGUGAACUGGCUGCCACUGCUGUCAAUGCCCCAAUGGUCUCUGCUGAGAUUUUAGCCGAGUUAUCCCCAUAUGUCAUCCUUGCUGAGAAGCUGGGACGUCUUGCCGUGCAACUCGUGGCUGGUGGCAGUGGGAUCAAGGCAGUCAAGGUCGUCUACUCAUCGGCUAGAGACCCGGAUGACUUGGACACAAGAAUUCUCCGCGCCAUGGUCACGAAAGGCAUCGUCGAACCCAUUUCAAGUGCAUUUGUCAACAUUGUCAAUGCUGACUACGUCGCCAAGCAACGAGGGCUCCGCAUAAUCGAGGAGCAGAUUCUCCUCGAUGGCUCCCCUGAGGUCCCUAUAAACUCCAUCCAGGUCCAGCUUGCCAAUGUGGAGUCCAAGUUCGCCGGCGCGCUGUCCGACGACGGUGACAUCAGGGUGGAGGGGAAGGUUAAGGAUGGCACACCGCAUCUCACGCUCGUCGGCCCUUUCAGCGUCGACGUCAGCCUUGAGGGCAACUUGUUGCUGUGCCGGCAGGUCGACCAGCCGGGCAUCAUCGGCAAGGUGGGAUCGAUUCUCGGGACGAUGAACCUGAAUGUCAACUUUAUGAGCGUUGGCAGGAUUGCUCCAGGGAAGCAGGCCAUCAUGGCCAUUGGGAUUGAUGAGGAGCCUGAUAAGGAAGCUCUCAAGUUGAUCGGGGAGACGCCCUCGGUACAGGAGUUUGUCUUUCUAAAGCUUUAG